AAAACGACUCUCGGCAACGGAUAUCUCGGCUCUCGCAUCGAUGAAGAACGCAGCGAAAUGCGAUACUUGGUGUGAAUUGCAGGAUCCCGCGAACCAUCGAGUCUUUGAACGCAAGUUGCGCCCUAAGCCUUCCGGCCGAGGGCACGUCUGCCUGGGUGUCAUUC
rnacentral:rRNA from 4 species